rnacentral:rRNA from 1 species
ACCCAAUAGAUACCCGGGUAGUCCACGCCCUAAACGAUGAUUACUCGACAUACGCGAUACACUGUGUGUGUCUGAGCGAAAGCAUUAAGUAAUCCACCUGGGAAGUACGAUCGCAAGAUUGAAACUCAAAGGAAUUGACGGGGGUCCGGCACAAGCGGUGGAGCAUGUGGUUUAAUUACGAUGAUACGCGAGGAACCUUACCUGGGCGUAGAAUGUCCCGCGACAGGUGGUGAAAGCUACCCUUGUAGCAAUACACGCGGGAUAAGGUGCUGCAUGGCUGUCGUCAGCUCGUGCCGUGAGGUGUUGGGUUAAGUCCCGCAACGAGCGCAACCCUAUCUUUAGUUGCCAUCAGGUAAUGCUGGGAACUCUAAAGAAACUGCCGUCGUAAGGCGUGAGGAAGGAGGGGAUGAUGUCAAGUCAUCAUGGCCUUUAUGCCCGAGGGCUACACACGUGCUACAAUGGCGAGUACAAAGGGCAGCUACCUGGUAACAGGAUGCUAAUCUCAAAAAAACUCGUCUCAGUUCGGA